rnacentral:rRNA from 1 species
UGCUUCUAAUUGUCUUUGGACAAAAAAACAUAUAAUGUAUGGAAAACUUGAUCUCAAAUCAGGCAGGACUACCCGCUGAACUUAAGCAUAUCAAUAAGCGGAGGAAAAGAAACUAACAAGGAUUCCCCUAGUAACUGCGAGUGAAGCGGGAAAAGCUCAAAUUUAAAAUCUGACAGUUGUUCUGGCUGUCCGAGUUGUAAUCUAGAGAAGUGUUGCCCGCGCUGGACCGUGUACAAGUCUCCUGGAAUGGAGUAUCAUAGAGGGUGAGAAUCCCGUCUUUGACAUGGACUACCAGGGCUUUGUGGUGCGCUCUCGAAGAGUCGAGUUGUUUGGGAAUGCAGCUCAAAAUGGGUGGUAAAUGCCAUCUAAAGCUAAAUAUUGGCGAGAGACCGAUAGCGAACAAGUACCGUGAGGGAAAGAUGAAAAGAACUUUGGAAAGAGAGUUAAACAGUACGUGAAAUUGCUGAAAGGGAAACGCUUGAAGUCAGUCGCAUCGACUGGAAAUCAACCUUGCUUUUGCUUGGUGUAUUUUCUGGCUUGAUGGGUCAGCAUCAAUUUUGAUCGCUGGAUAAAGGCUUGGGGAAUGUGGCAUCUUAGGAUGUGUUAUAGCCCUUUGUCGCAUACAGCGGUUGGGAUUGAGGAACUCAGCACGCCGCAAGGCCGGGUUUCGACCACGUUUACGUGCUUAGGAUGCUGGCAUAAUGGCUUUAAUCGACCCGUCUUGAAACACGGACCAAGGAGUCUAACAUGCCUGCGAGUGUUUGGGUGGAAAACCCAUGCGCGCAAUGAAAGUGAAAAGUUGAGAUCCCUGUCGUGGGGAGCAUCGACGCCCAGACCAGACCUUUUGCGACGGAUCUGCGGUAGAGCAUGUAUGUUGGGACCCGAAAGAUGGUGAACUAUGCCUGAAUAGGGUGAAGCCAGAGGAAACUCUGGUGGAGGCUCGUAGCGAUUCUGACGUGCAAAUCGAUCGUCAAAUUUGGGUAUAGGGGCGAAAGACUAAUCGA